CCCAGAUGUCAGUACUUGUCCUUUGAUAUUCCUCGUAUCUGCACCCAGCAAUUCCUCACUUCUUUGUCUUCUUUCAUGAUUACAGAAAGCCAGUGUUGUGUCAAAAUCUUGUUGGAAAUACUUCAAUUGAGAAUUAUGGUUUGGCCCAUUUUGAAACCGCUCACAAGCAUCAGAUAGCGAGCCAUAGUGAUGCUGACGUUGCUGAUUAAGUUGAUGAUGCAACUCAGCAACUUUCUGCUUUAAUCUAGCCACAUCUGCUUCUGCCAGGGCUAUCUCUUCGAGCUCGGCCCUAGUCUUGGAAUCCAUAUCGCGAGUGCCCGAAAGUUGUCCAGAAGACAUACUCAAACCAACUUCCAGUGCAGCUCUUAGAUCCCUCUCAGCUUGUAGCUGUUCUUGAAGUCUUGCAACAUCUUGUUCAAGAGCCAAACGACGCUCAUGCAAGGCUUGCUUCCGUCUCUCCAAGCUCGCCUGCAGAAUUGCAUUUCCUCUUGCCUCCUUUGCAAUCCUAUGGCGCAAGUCAUUUUUUGUUAUCUCAAGUCUCUGUAUAGCAAGCUCUUCCUCUCCAGAAGAAUCAAUUGAUUCUGUUGAUGGAGUACUUCUACCAUUGCUUCUCCCCCAAAAUGUUGACCUUUUAACAUUCUGGUUAGAAGGUGUUAG
rnacentral:misc_RNA from 1 species